rnacentral:rRNA from 1 species
UACGGAGGGUGCGAACGUUAAUCGGAAUCACUGGGCGUAAAGCGCGCGUAGGCGGUUCGUUAAGUGGGAUGUGAAAUCCCCGGGCUUAACCUGGGAAUUGCAUUUCAAACUGGCCGACUAGAGUACGGUAGAGGGAGGUAGAAUUUCCUGUGUAGCGGUGAAAUGCGUAGAUAUAGGAAGGAAUACCAGUGGCGAAGGCGGCCUCCUGGAUCGAUACUGACGCUGAGGCGCGAAAGCUAGGGGAGCAAACGGG